GGUAAUGAAAACAGACAACACACUGCAUUGACAUUGCAGGGGUCACAGGUUCAACCUGUCACGCCCACCA
rnacentral:tRNA from 1 species